rnacentral:lncRNA from 1 species
GGACAUCAGAAGCUACACAUUUGGGACCUUCUCAGGCUUCACCCUAUGCACCUCUUUUUGCUGAUCCUGAUUUGUAUUAUUUGUGCUAUAAUAACACUGUAAUUAUAUGUAUAGGACUUUCCUGAAUUCUCUGUCACUGUCAGUCUAUUAAAUGAUUGAGCAUGAAGAGAGAGUAGGAACCCCUGAGUAUUUAGCUUGUUGGUCAGAAGUGCUGGUGGCCUUGGAACUCAUAAGCUUGUGGCUAGUUUCUGAGGUGAGUGAGAGGUCUUGUGAAGGACUGUGCCCUCAGCCUGUGAAGUCUGCCUAACUCUGGCUAGUCCAUCGCAAGUCACUGCACACGUAUUAAUUCAAUCAGCUCUAUGGUCUAACCCAGGCACAACAGGAAUACAACCUUUUACUACAGAUGUGGGAUUGUUCAUGUCAUCUACUAAUGCAAGAUGGAUCUGAGAACGCUGUCUGGGCUUGGUACCAAGAGCUGGUAUUUCACAGCAGCGACCGCCUCACAGACGAGCUGUGGGAAGCAGGAGGGAGACUCUCUCUUAGGGUGCCACUACUAUGGAGACACAGCUGGGCUGAACAAGAUUUGCUUCAAACGACAACAAGAGAGACAGAAAGUAUCUGGUUCAACCGCUGCCCGAGCAGGCAGGCACCAGAAGAGCUAGCAGCCAAUCCGGCCAUGCUCGAAGCCAGCUCUGCAGCUCAGCCAAUCAGUGACAUCAUUGCUUUCUUUAGCUUGCCCAUGGUGAUGUGAAGAUGAGAAGAAAUAGCAAGGCCCAACCAGUUCUUCAUCUGGAGACAGUUCAACGUUCUGCAAACCAGAUCUUCAGGAAUUUUACUGGGAUAAUUAUCCAAAUAAAUUGCAAGCAUUCUAUCCAAAUGGAGCUCUUUCUGAGAUGAAGAGAAUUCUCAAUGUCAAGAUUUGAACAAGAAGAGAAUGGAAUACACAAUAUGGACAUCCAUAAAAAUUCAUCAGAGAGCAUUUUACUACUGAGCUGCAAAGGGAAAAACUUAAAAUGGAUAUGAAAAGUGAAGAAAGUGAUCAUAGGAGAAAACCAUUUCAGAAUGAAUGUGCAGCCUCCCCAGUCCAACUGACCAGCUUCCUGUGCUUUCAGAGACCUUUUCUAGACCAGUAUUACAAUUUGGAGAUCCACACAAUAAAAGUUCAAGGAGC